rnacentral:rRNA from 1 species
GUGGGGAAUAUUGGACAAUGGGCGAAAGCCUGAUCCAGCCAUGCCGCGUGAGUGAUGAAGGCCUUAGGGUUGUAAAGCUCUUUUGUCCGGGAAGAUAAUGACUGUACCGGAAGAAUAAGCCCCGGCUAACUUCGUGCCAGCAGCCGCGGUAAUACGAAGGGGGCUAGCGUUGUUCGGAAUCACUGGGCGUAAAGCGCACGUAGGCGGACCAUUAAGUCAGGGGUGAAAGCCUGGAGCUCAACUCCAGAACUGCCUUUGAUACUGAUGGUCUCGAGUAUGGAAGAGGUUGGUGGAACUGCGAGUGUAGAGGUGAAAUUCGUAGAUAUUCGCAAGAACACCGGUGGCGAAGGCGGCCAACUGGUCCAUUACUGACGCUGAGGUGCGAAAGCGUGGGGAGCAAACAGGAUUAGAUACCCCAGUAGUCC